rnacentral:lncRNA from 1 species
GGAAAAAUUAGAAAAAAGGGUAGAGUAGUGCAUAGGAGAGACAAAACGGUGAGUAUUAGCAGAAAGAGGAACAAAGAGAAAGUUGAAAAUGGCCUUUCACCGGCCUUUUCCCACUUUCCCUAAACCCAAAAAAAACCCAAUGCCUUCAAAUAAUCACUUCUUCAACCAAUCACUUUUCCCAUUUUAGACAUCCUCACACACAACAAAAACUAGACAUAGAGAGAGAGAGAGAGAGAAACAAUAAAACAACAUGUUCUGUUUUGCAGCAAUGGAUGAUGUUGUUGAUGAUGAUGAUGAUGACAUGGUACCUCAUGUUGUUGUUGUUCUUGUUCUGUCUUCAUCUUAUUGCAAUGACCCUUUUACCCUUGUUCAUCCAAAAGAGGUAUCUGUUCAUCUUCCCUUUGUAACACAAACCUUGUUCACUUCUAUUCAGAGAUGAAACAGAACAACAAUGAGAUUGAGAGAACCAUUCUACAAUGUAGCUUCCUCUCUCUUUCUUCUUUCUUCAUUUGCUUCAAAAAAGGCAGACAGGAUGGAGCCAGGCAUAUUAAUAUAUAUUAUAUAUAAAUAUCUAUAUCUAUAUAACUAUAUAUAUUUCCAAUUUCAUCCCCAUAUAUAAAUUUUGUUUCUUUUUUUUUGGGUUUUCAUCAAUAUCUGCUUUUUGCACCAAAAACAAAACCUUUUUGUUUUUUCCAUUUACCUGAGAUUGAAAAGAAGAAAGAGGAGCAUACAUAUUGGUCAUCAACCAUGGACUAUAAAUGCCAAGUAAUGGAAGAAGAAGAAGAACACAGUGUAUCAAGGAUUUUCAUGAUUUGUUGAGUUUCAAAUGUAUGUAUCCUUAAAGUUGUACUCUUUUUUUCAUUACUGAUCAUCAC